rnacentral:rRNA from 1 species
GGUCAAGUUAUUAAGGGUGCAGGGCGGAUGCCUUGGCACUAGGAGCCGAUGAAGGACGUGAUAAGCUGCGAUAAGCUUCGGGGAGUUGCACGUAAACUUUGAUCCGAAGAUUUCCGAAUGAGGAAACUCACUUAGAGUAAUGUCUAAGUAUCAUUAAGUGAAUACAUAGCUUAAUGAGGGGAACUCAGGGAACUGAAACAUCUAAGUACCUGAAGGAAGAGAAAGAAAUUCGAUUCCGUAAGUAGCGGCGAGCGAACGCGGAUUAGCCCAAACCAAUAAAGUUUUCUUUAUUGGGGUUGCGGACAUAUCAUAACGAAGAGGUAUCGUAAUUGAAGAGGUUUGGAAAGACCCACCACAGAAGGUAAUAGUCCUGUAUGUUAAACGAGAAGACUUCAGAUAUGAUCCAGAGUACCACGGGACACGUGAAACCCUGUGGGAAGCAGGAGGGACCACCCUCCAAGGCUAAAUACUACCUAGUGACCGAUAGCGUAUAGUACCGUGAGGGAAAGGUGAAAAGAACCCCGGGAGGGGAGUGAAAUAGAACCUGAAACCCUGCACUUACAAGCUGUGGAAGCACAUUUCUUGUGUGACCGCGUACUUUUUGUAGAACGGGCCAACGAGUUACGUUAAGUAGCAAGGUUAAGCACUUAAGGUGCGGAGCCGUAGCGAAAGCGAGUUUUAACUGAGCGUUCAGUUACUUGACGUAGACCCGAAACCGGGCGACCUACCCAUGAGCAGGAUGAAGCGAAAGUAAAAUUUCGUGGAGGUCCGAACCCACGAGCGUUGAAAAGCUCGGGGAUGACUUGUGGGUAGCGGUGAAAUUCCAAUCGAGCCCGGAGAUAGCUGGUUCUCCCCGAAAUAGCUUUAGGGCUAGCCUCAAGGUGAGAGAUACGGAGGUAGAGCACUGAAUGUCCUAGGGGGUAUUGCACCUACCGAAGACUAUCAAACUCCGAAUGCCGUCAUCUUAUACUUGGGAGUCAGACUGUGGGUGAUAAGAUUCAUAGUCGAAAGGGCAACAGCCCAGAUCGUCAGCUAAGGUCCCUAAAUGUAAGUUAAGUGGUAAAGGAUGUGGGAUUGCACAGACAACCAGGAUGUUGGCUUAGAAGCAGCCACUCAUUCAAAGAGUGCGUAAUAGCUCACUGGUCGAGUGAUCCUGCGCCGAAGAUUUCCGGGGCUAAAACUUACUACCGAAGCUACGGCAUCAGUAAUGAUGGGUAGGGGAGCUUCCCAUACGGGUUGAAGCAUGACCGUAAGGACAUGUGGACAGUAUGGGAGUGAGAAUGUUGGCAUGAGUAGCGAGAUGUGGGUGAGAAUCCCACAGGCCGUAAACCCAAGGUUUCCAGGGGAAGGUUCGUCCGCCCUGGGUUAGUCGGGACCUAAGCUGAGGCCGAAAGGCGUAGGUGAUGGACAACAGGUUGAUAUUCCUGUACUACCGAUAACCGUUUGAGAGAAGGGAUGACACAGUAGGAUAAGCUAAGCACACUGUUGGUUAUGUGUGCCCAAGCAUUGAGGCAGUCAAAGUAGGCAAAUCCGCUUUGAUAAUGCUGGGAUGUGAUGGGGAGCGAAAUUUAGUAGCGAAGUAGCUGAUUUCACACUGUCAAGAAAAGUCUCUAUCGAGGUUAAAGGUACCCGUACCGCAAACCGACACAGGUGGGUGAGGAGAGUAUCCUAAGGCCAGCGAGAGAACUGUUGUUAAGGAACUCGGCAAAAUGACCCCGUAACUUAGGGAUAAGGGGUGCCACCAUCAGGUGGCCGCAGAGAAUAGGCCCAAGCGACUGUUUACCAAAAACAUAGGUUUCUGCUAAGUCGCAAGACGAUGUAUAGGAGCUGACGCCUGCCCGGUGCUGGAAGGUUAAGGGGAUCUGUUAGAGCAAUCGAAGCAGUGAACUUAAGCCCCAGUAAACGGCGGCCGUAACUAUAACGGUCCUAAGGUAGCGAAAUUCCUUGUCGGGUAAGUUCCGACCCGCACGAAAGGCGUAACGAUUUGGGCACUGUCUCAACAACAGACUCGGUGAAAUUGUAAUUCCGGUGAAGAUGCCGGAUACCUGCGACAGGACGGAAAGACCCCAUGGAGCUUUACUGUAGCUUGACAUUGGGUCUUGGUACUACAUGUACAGGAUAGGUGGGAGGCUUUGAAACCAGGACGCCAGUUUUGGCGGAGCCAUCCUUGGGAUACCACCCUUGUAGUACUGGGACUCUAACCAUAGGCCAUGAAUCUGGUCUUGGGACACUGUCAGG